ACGUAGGGGGCAAGCGUUAUCCGGAUUUACUGGGUGUAAAGGGAGCGUAGACGGACUGGCAAGUCUGAUGUGAAAGGCGGGGGCUCAACCCCUGGACUGCAUUGGAAACUGUUAGUCUUGAGUGCCGGAGAGGUAAGCGGAAUUCCUAGUGUAGCGGUGAAAUGCGUAGAUAUUAGGAGGAACACCAGUGGCGAAGGCGGCUUGCUGGACGGUAACUGACGUUGAGGCUCGAAAGCGUGGGGAGCAAACAG
rnacentral:rRNA from 1 species